rnacentral:rRNA from 1 species
AUUGAACGCUGGCGGAAUGCUUUACACAUGCAAGUCGAACGGCAGCACGGACUUCGGUCUGGUGGCGAGUGGCGAACGGGUGAGUAAUGUAUCGGAACGUGCCCAGUCGUGGGGGAUAACGUAGUGAAAAUUACGCUAAUACCGCAUACGAUCUAUGGAUGAAAGCGGGGGAUCGCAAGACCUCGCGCGAUUGGAGCGGCCGAUAUCAGAUUAGGUAGUUGGUGGGGUAAAGGCCCACCAAGCCAACGAUCUGUAGCUGGUCUGGGAGGACGACAAGCCACACGGGAACUGAGACAAGGUCCAGACUCCUACGGGAGGCAGCAGUGGGGAAUUUUGGACAAUGGGCGAAAGCCUGAUCCAGCCACUCCGCGUGCAGGAUGAAGGCCCUCGGGUUGUAAACUGCUUUUGUACAGAACGAAAAGGUUUCUACUAAUACUAGGAGCUCAUGACGGUACUGUAAGAAUAAGCACCGGCUAACUACGUGCCAGCCGCCGCCGUAA